rnacentral:rRNA from 1 species
AGAAUCAACGCUGGCGGCGUGCCUAACACAUGCAAGUCGCACGAGAAAGGGUAGCAAUACCUGAGUAAAGUGGCGCACGGGUGAGUAACACGUGAAUAAUCUACCUCCGAGUGGGGAAUAACUGAGAGAAAUCUUAGCUAAUACCGCAUAACACUUACGAGUCAAAGCAGUAAUGCGCUUGGAGAGGAGUUCGCGGCCGAUUAGUUAGUUGGCGGGGUAAUGGCCCACCAAGACGAUGAUCGGUA